UACGUAGGUGGCGAGCGUUGUCCGGAUUUAUUGGGUUUAAAGGGUGCGUAGGCGGCUUUGUAAGUCAGUGGUGAAAUACUCCAGCUUAACUGGAGGGGUGCCAUUGAUACUGCGGAGCUUGAGUACAGGUGAGGUAGGCGGAAUUGACGGUGUAGCGGUGAAAUGCAUAGAUAUCGUCAAGAACACCGAUAGCGAAGGCAGCUUACUGGGCUGUAACUGACGCUGAUGCACGAAAGUGUGGGGAUCAAACAGG
rnacentral:rRNA from 1 species